UUUUUUUUCAUUACUUACCAAGUAACAGAAGGGAGAAAGAACACAGAAAAUGGAGGAUGAAUUAUAUCCUGAAGCUACAGAACUCAUUCGCAUGCCUCCUAUAUUUGAGGCUACAUAUUAAAAAACAUCAGCAAGAUUGAAACGGUAGUUUCAAAAACUACUGUAAUCACUAGAGAAGAGUUUACAUGGAGUAGCAUAAGGCUAGACUUCAAGUUGUUCCAAACCCACCAAGUCUACAUGAAGAGGAAGCUCUAAGCCCAGCAGCAGGAUUCCUAUUAGAAAAGAAGGACAUUAAAGUGCCUCUUCUCUAGGCUCUUAGCGUCUCAGCUACAAUUUUCCUUAUUUCAACCUCUGUACAAGAAGGCAGCACGUGGAAAAGAUGAAUGCCACCCACACCUGAUAUCAUGUUCCGAAGUUGCUAUAGUUUCACACCACUGGAAGUCAACAGAAAUGUUUGUUGUUGGUUUUAUGUUGGUUUUUCAGUCGUACUCUAUGAAUGCCCUUCCUCCAUGGCAACAUGGUGAUGCAGCUGACAUUCUGACACAGCAGCAUGUCUCUGAAUUAUCAAUCACAUCAUGCUCAGAGGAUCAGCACUACUUGAUGAGACUCUACUAUCUUUCUAGAUUUUGUAUUUUUCUAUACAAAAAAAAAAAAUCACAUUACUUUGUCUCUCCAAUUAAUGCUUUUUCCUGUACCUUAGAACAUGGGCAGUGAUGGAGAAAUACAGCAAAGCAUUAAACAGAUUUACUACCUUCACUAUUAUGCAGAUUAAUUUUCCUGAAUAUUCAGCUUCGAUACUGCAAUGAUCUUCUCUCAAGUGAAUGGUAUUUGAAGAUAUAUAUAUAUAUAUAUAUCCUUUCUGUAUCUAGAGGGGAGCUACAGGAAAGAAGGGGACAGACUCUUUAGCAGGGUCCAUGGCAACAGAACAAGGGGAAAAGGCUUCAAGCUCAGGGAGGGUAGAUUUAGGUUAGAUAUAAGGAAAAGACCUUUUACAGUGAGGGUGGUGAGGAACUGAAACAGGUUGCCCAGUGACGUGGUUGAUGCCCCGUCCCUGGAGACUUUCAAGGCGAGGCUGGAUUAGGCUCUGGGCAACCUGAUCUAGCUGUGGUGCCCCUGUUCAUUGCAGGGGAGUUGGAUUAGAUGGCCUUCAGAGGUCCCAUCCAACUCUAAAGAUUCUAUUAUUAUAUGAUUCUAUGUUUGUUUUUUUACACACAUAUAUAUUUAUUUGGGAGGAGAUGCAUAGAAAAUGUUAGGUAAAUUUUUUUUCUGUUUUUAGUUCAAUGGCCACUAAUAUCUGCUAUAUUUCUCUAUUUCUCAAAAUUAAUAAACUUUAUGAAAGAUUUUUUAUUUUUUCCUUU
rnacentral:lncRNA from 1 species